CUGCAACUAAGCCACACAACUCGGACGGGUCAAAAGAACCAUCAUAUCAUAUAUACUAGGGUGAGGGAGAAACAAGAGAAAAAAGAGUAGUAGGAAAUAACAGUGGUCCAACCAGGGCAAGGACGAAGAGACACUACAAAAACAAUCAAAAAAUUGAUCUAAAACAAUAGGAUAAAUAAACUACAUCGUAAAUGAAAAGCCAAAGGGCAUAAGAUGGAAGUUCAUCCUUAAGUAAAUUGCCAUCCAUUCAAGAAGAGAAAACAACACUCUGUAUUAAAAAACUGCAUCCUUUUCCAAAGACAAAACACACGGCAAGGCCUCCAACAAAAUUAAACUAAUUACCAACAAAAUUU
rnacentral:lncRNA from 1 species